GCCGGGGUAGGCUAGCCAGGAAAGUCGCUGGACAUACUAUCCAGUGGGCGGACAACCGCCCGCAUGGGUUCAAAUCCCAUCCCCGGCGCCA
rnacentral:tRNA from 1 species